rnacentral:rRNA from 1 species
AUUGAACGCUGGCGGCAUGCCUUACACAUGCAAGUCGAACGGUAACGCGGGGCAACCUGGCGACGAGUGGCGAACGGGUGAGUAAUAUAUCGGAACGUGCCCAGUAGUGGGGGAUAGCCCGGCGAAAGCCGGAUUAAUACCGCAUGAGACCUGAGGGUGAAAGCGGGGGAUCGCAAGACCUCGCGCUAUUGGAGCGGCCGAUAUCAGAUUAGGUAGUUGGUGGGGUAAAGGCCUACCAAGCCGACGAUCUGUAGCUGGUCUGAGAGGACGACCAGCCACACUGGGACUGAGACACGGCCCAGACUCCUACGGGAGGCAGCAGUGGGGAAUUUUGGACAAUGGGCGCAAGCCUGAUCCAGCCAUGCCGCGUGCGGGAAGAAGGCCUUCGGGUUGUAAACCGCUUUUGUACGGAACGAAACGGUGAGCUCUAAUAAAGCUUGCUAAUGACGGUACCGUAAGAAUAAGCACCGGCUAACUACGUG